UUCCAUGUAUCUUUGGGACCUGUCACUGUACAAGUCUCCCUUCUUGGCCAUGGAAGAUCAUAUUCUUAUUCAUUGGCAAACUAUCACCACUUAAUUGGUAUUAGAUUCUGACAUACAUCAGUAACAUCC